GGCGGCGUGCUUAACACAUGCAAGUCGAACGAUGAAGCCUUUCGGGGUGGAUUAGUGGCGAACGGGUGAGUAACACGUGGGCAAUCUGCCCUUCACUCUGGGACAAGCCCUGGAAACGGGGUCUAAUACCGGAUAACACUCUGUCCCGCAUGGGACGGGGUUAAAAGCUCCGGCGGUGAAGGAUGAGCCCGCGGCCUAUCAGCUUGUUGGUGGGGUAAUGGCCUACCAAGGCGACGACNGGUAGCCGGCCUGAGAGGGCGACCGGCCACACUGGGACUGAGACACGGCCCAGACUCCUACGGGAGGCAGCAGUGGGGAAUAUUGCACAAUGGGCGAAAGCCUGAUGCAGCGACGCCGCGUGAGGGAUGACGGCCUUCGGGUUGUAAACCUCUUUCANCAGGGAANAAGCGAAAGUGACGGUACCUGCAGAAGAA
rnacentral:rRNA from 1 species